UAAUAUCCUUCACAAAUAAGCAAUAAACAUCUAGUCAACAGCCCCCAUUCCGUAAUCAUACAUGGCACAGCCGGUAGUAGCCGCCUCCAGGCGGAAGAACCUUCCCCAAGACGACUGAGGACGCCAUUGCGGAACUUGGGCCCAGAAGAGACGUGAUGCGUGCGGAAUGGCCGUGGUUGCAGCGGGUGGGCAUGGUGCAGCCGGAUGGCCGUGGUCGCAGCGAGAGCGUGAUGCGUGCUGAAGGCCCGUGGUUACAGUGACCCUCCCGCGGGUGCAACGGAAGUUCCGUGGAUGCAGCGGUGACUGGGCCAGGUCGACCGUGGGGUGUCAGAGGCGCUGGGGGUAACAUCAAUGCCUGGAUGGUUGGGGAGGCCUGGUGGAUGUGGUGACCCGGAUGGAGGAUGGAUCUGAGUCAAACCCUUUAACAUUUAGUCAAUCCUUCUAAUCACCAAAUCAAACAACUCUAGUCAUCUAUACAUAAUUUAUCUAUUAUGUUCAUGCUCACCUAGUCAAUUGUCACAACUCUCUAGUCAUUCCCACCAGGCCUCAUAGGAUAUUUUGUGCUCUCCCCCUUGUCAACCCUACCCCCCUUCCCCGGGAAGGGAGAUGUUAUAUUCUAGUCACAGAUAUCCAUUUUCCAUUUACACAUUGCCUUUGCUCCCACCAUCAUACUCGCCAUAGACAGUUUCCCUUAUUAUAAAUUCCUCCACACACGAUCAACGAAUAUCUAGUCAACAGCCCCCAUCCGGUCAUCAUACAAUAUAGGGCUGAUUUAUGCCCGGAAUCUCAUCCUUGGGCUCUGGCAAAUGGAACUCGUUGCUGUAAAAGGUUUCAUCGGAUCAAUGAUUACAGCAAAGAUUUGGAUUGGUAUGACCCAGCAUCGCUUUGUUAUGACGACAAUUCUAUUCCGUGUAAAAGUGCCAAUUGGUGCUCAACGAGGCCCGAAGUGAUUACACCCAUUGAAUGUCCUUACACACAUCCAGUUCAAAUGAAGAACGCAUGUUGCAAAAGUGUUUGGGACAAAGACAGCUCAUUUGGCUCUGCCAAUCUCAUCGACCCCGAAGAUGAUGCCUCACGCUGCCUCCCUGAAUAUCUUUUCCAACCUAUAAUGUGCCAAGAACACAAAAAGCGUUGUGUUGCGCAGGUGCCUCCGAUAGAUUGUUCCUUAAAAAACGUGGACUACUUUCGUCACGAUCUUGGGGGACCUUUUACCCCUGGCCCAGUGGUGAAUUCUCAUUUAGAUUGCAAAGCCCAGUGCCAGAUAAUACCAAACUGCGAGGUGUACACUUACGCUGGUCUGCCGAGUUCCAUGUAUUACCAACGUUGCUUUUACAAAUCGAGUUCUGCGGGUGGUUUGGUGGACAAUCCUGAAGCAAUUGCAGGACCUAAGUUUUGUCCCUAGUCUGAAUUUAUUGGUGUGUGGGAGAAACGACUUUUUAGACUUUGAUGAAACACCGGGUAAUGAGUCUGAAAAGAGUAGAGAAACAGAGGCAGUAGGCAAUUUCUUGAGAGGGAAUGGCAAGUUUUUUGAGAAAUAAACUCAAAAUCUCUUCUUUUACUUUCCAUCUGUAUAAAUGGCGUAUUUUUGAUUGGCAUCGUACAAAAAAAAAAAAACUCAAAGAACCGCCUGACUGUCUUUUUCAUAGAAAAUUAAAACACAAGAUACCAGUGAUGCACAAUGCAAAAGGAAAUUGCAAGUCAACUCUAUGACUUUUGUGGGGAUCAAUCAGCGCGUUGUUGAUGACGGUAUGGAAUGCGUGGGCGUUGUUUCUUCCUAUUUGUAUUUCUGUUUAUGGGCACUGACUGAAUAAAGAUUUAUUGAAUUCUA